rnacentral:rRNA from 1 species
CCUACGGGUGGCAGCAGUGGGGAAUAUUGCACAAUGGGGGAAACCCUGAUGCAGCGACGCCGCGUGAGUGAAGAAGUAUUUCGUUAUGUAAAGCUCUAUCAGCAGGGAAGAAAAUGACGGUACCUGAGUAAGAAGACCCGCCUACCUACGUGCCAGCAGCCGCGGUAAUACGGAGGGGGCAAGCGUUAUCCGGAUGUACGGGGGGUAAAGGGGGGGUAGACGGGAGUGCAAGUCGGGAGUGAAAGCCUGGGGCUCAACACCAGAACUGCUUUGGAAACUGUAAGGCUGGAGUGCAGGAGAGGUAAGUGGAAUUCCUAGUGUAGCGGUGAAAUGCGUAGAUAUUAGGAGGAACACUAGUGGCGAAGGCGGCUUACUGGACCGUAACUGACGUUGAGGCUCGAAAGCGUGGGGAGCAAACAGGAUUAGAUACCCGGGUAGUC